rnacentral:rRNA from 1 species
UGCGUAGGCGGAUUGGCAAGUCAGAAGUGAAAUCCAUGGGCUUAACCCAUGAACUGCUUUUGAAACUGUUAGUCUUGAGUGAAGUAGAGGUAGGCGGAAUUCCCGGUGUAGCGGUGAAAUGCGUAGAGAUCGGGAGGAACACCAGUGGCGAAGGCGGCCUACUGGGCUUUAACUGACGCUGAAGCACGAAAGCAUGGGUAGCAAACA